CGUGUAGGCAGCUUUUUAAGUCUGAAGUGAAAGUCCUGCUUUCAAGGUGGGAAUUGCUUUGGAGACUGGAAGGCUUGAGUGCGGAAGAGGUAAGUGGAAUUCCCAGUGUAGCGGUGAAAUGCGUAGAGAUUGGGAGGAACACCAGUGGCGAAGGCGACUUACUGGGCCGUAACUGACGCUGAGGCGCGAAAGCGUGGGGAGCGAACA
rnacentral:rRNA from 1 species